GAUGAACGCUGGCGGCGUGCCUAAUACAUGCAAGUCGAGCGAACAGACGAGGAGCUUGCUCCUCUGACGUUAGCGGCGGACGGGUGAGUAACACGUGGAUACCCUACCUAUAAGACUGGGAUAACUUGGGGAAACCGGCGCUAAUCCCGGAUAAUAUAUUGAACCGCAUGGUUCAAUAGUGAAAGACGGUUUUGCUGUCACUUAUAGAUGGAUCCGCGCCGCAUUAGCUAGUUGGUAAGGUAACGGCUUAUCAAGGCAACCAUGCGUAACCGACCUGAGAGGGUGAUAGGCGGCACGGGAACGGGACCACGGACCAGACUCCUACGAGAGGCAGCAGUAGGGAAUCUUCCGCAGUAGGGGAAAGCCUGACGGAACAGCGCCACGUGAGUGAUGGAGGUCUUCGGAUCGUAAUACUCUGUUAUUAGUGAUGAACAAAUGUGUAAGUAACUGUACACGUCUUGACGGUACCUAAUCAGAAAGCCACGGCUAACUACGUG
rnacentral:rRNA from 1 species